UGCAAAAGCAACAGGAUCAGUUCUUCGAACUAUAGCAGGAACAUCAAUGGACCAGCUCCAGUUCGUCAUCCACCAACGGGAAACAGUCUUCAUUGUACUGUGGGGUGUACCAUAAGUAUCUAGAAAACCCGGAAGUGGGUAAACCCAAAACGGUGGUAAAGCUGCUGAACCUGGGAUCGGUCGUUUUGUUCAGUAGGAACAAAAGCACCGACCAUUGCGUGCCCGUGCAAAUCUAUGGCAGAAGAACCGGUUCGACGCUCUGCCGAGCCAUGAUAGACGGACACUUCGUUUUGACAGAAUGUCUUUUUCGGAAACGAGUAAACAGAGCAAUCACAAGCCCUCCUUUUCCGUGCACCAACCGUGCCCCACUAGGAAUCACAAUUCGUUUGGUUGGCCUGAUUUCUUCGGGGAUAACGAUCGAUCACCAUGCUCACAAAGCAGUCGGAUCUGCGGCCACUCGAUCCCAGCAGAUCCACGUAUAUUUCUCGGAAUAGCCUUGUCCUUGAAGCGGACAAUUCAUAAAAUGUUCAUGUAUUAUAAAUUACGAAUAUAAACCAUAAAAAUAUGUGUAUUUAAAUUUCAGAAAGUUCUUUUUUAGAUUACAAUGUAAACAAGCCGAAAAUAACAAAAAAAAAGAAUAAGAACAGAGAAAAGAAAAAGAAGAAGCAAUAUGGUACCCACAUCUAGAAGAAGUCUAGAAGCGAGUCUAGAAGACCCGUGGUAUUCGAGUCUAGAAGAUAUCGAGGUAAUAUCUAAGAGACCACACCUGUCAUAUCCCUAUCGGUUCAAACGGUCUACUCGUCUAAAAUUUGAGGUAGACACCGGUUUAAACGGUUGUUGCAUUUGAGGCGGA